rnacentral:rRNA from 1 species
AGUGAACGCUGGCGGCGUGCAUAACACAUGCAAGUCGAACGAGAACGGGUUAUAGCUUGCUAUAAUUGUCAGCUAAGUGGCGCACGGGUGAGUAAUGUAUAGGUAAUAUGCCUCUUACUAAGGGAUAACAAAUGGAAACGUUUGCUAAUACCUUAUACUCCUUAUUAACAGAAGUUAAUAAGGGAAAGAUUUAUCGGUAAGAGAUUAGCCUGUAUUGUAUCAGUUAGUUGGUGGGGUAAUGGCUUACCAAGACUAUGACACAUAACUGGUUUGAGAGGAUGAUCAGUCACACUGGAACUGAGACACGGUCCAGACUCCUACGGGAGGCAGCAGUGGGGAAUAUUGCACAAUGGACGAAAGUCUGAUGCAGCAACGCCGCGUGGAGGAUGACACAUUUCGGUGCGUAAACUCCUUUUAUAUGAGAAGAUAAUGACGGUAUUAUAUGAAUAAGCACCGGCUAACUCCGUGCCAGCCGCCGCAGUAA